rnacentral:rRNA from 1 species
GACGUGGGGGGCCAGCGUUGCUCGGAAUUACUGGGUGUAAAGGGUUCGUAGGCGGUGUGGCAAGUCGGGAGUGAAAUCUCUGGGCUUAACUCAGAGACUGCUUCCGAAACUGCUGUGCUUGAGUGUGGGAGAGGCGCGUGGAAUUGCAGGUGUAGCGGUGAAAUGCGUAGAUAUCUGCAGGAACACCCGUGGCGAAAGCGGCGCGCUGGACCACUACUGACGCUGAGGAACGAAAGCUAGGGGAGCAAACAGGAUUAGAUACCCUGGUAGUCCUAGCCCUAAACGAUCAGGACUUGGGGUGCCGCACGUUCGUGCGUCGUCCCGGAGCUAACGCGUUAAGUCCUGCACCUGGGGAGUACGGUCGCAAGACUGAAACUCAAAG